UACAGAGGUCUCAAGCGUUUGUUCGGAUUCAUUGGGCGUAAAGGGUGCGUAGGCGGCGCGGUAAGUCGGGGUGUGAAAUUUCGAGGCUUAACUUCGAAACUGCAUUCGAUACUGCGGUGCUUGAGGACUGGAGAGGAGACUGGAAUUUACGGUGUAGCAGUGAAAUGCGUAGAGAUCGUAAGGAAGACCAGUGGCGAAGGCGGGUCUCUGGACAGUUCCUGACACUGAGGCACGAAGGCCCAGGGGGAGCAAAACGGG
rnacentral:rRNA from 1 species